rnacentral:rRNA from 1 species
UUGNANAUGGAGGCACUCUGAUCCAGCCAUGCCGCGUGAGUGAUGAAGGCCUUCGGGUUGUAAAACUCUUUUGCCAGGGAAGAUAAUGACUGUACCUGGAGAAUAAGCCCCGGCUAACUUCGUGCCAGCAGCCGCGGUAAUACGAAGGGGGCUAGCGUUGUUCGGAAUUACUGGGCGUAAAGCGCGCGCAGGCGGCUCUUCAAGUCAGGGGUGAAAGCCCAGAGCUCAACUCUGGAACUGCCUUUGAAACUGUAGAGCUUGAGUACGGGAGAGGUGAGUGGAAUUCCCAGUGUAGAGGUGAAAUUCGUAGAUAUUGGGAAGAACACCGGUGGCGAAGGCGGCUCACUGGCCCGUUUUCUGACGCUCAGGCGCGACAGCGUGGGGAUCAAACAGGAUUAGAUACCCUGGUAGUCCACGCCGUAAACUAUGAACGCUAGCCGUUGGAUAGCUUGCUAUUCAGUGGCGCAGCUAACGCAUUAAGCGUUCCGCCUGGGGAGUACGGCCGCAAGGUUGAAACUCAAAAAAAUUGACGGA